rnacentral:rRNA from 1 species
AGCUCCAAUAGUGUAUACUAAAAUUGCUGCAGUUAAAAAGCUCGUAGUUGGAUUACAAGCGACUAUUGCCUGAGCAGACGUGGUAGCAAUAUCACGUCGGCUGGGUAGAGUCGCUUUUAUCGUGAGAGCCAUGCGUGGGAUUUAUUUUUUAUGCAUGGUCACUUGCGGAGUGUGCCUUGAAUAAAGCAAAGUGCUCAAAACAGGCGUCACGCUCGAAUGUAAUAGCAUGGUACGAAUAGUACUGACUAGUCAGUUGCUGUUGGUUGCUGAUUUGGUCAUGAUUAAAAGGGACAUUUGAGGGCGUUAGUACUUAGUGGCGAGAGGUGAAAUUCAUUGACCCACUAAAGACUACCAGUUGCGAAAGCGUUCGCCAAGACUGUUUUCAUUAAUCAAGAACGAA